GGCUUCUUUACCAGAGGGUAUGCAACACCUCGUGUCACUUCAACAACUUCGAAUGUGCGACUGUGAUAAGUUGACAUCUUUGCCGGAAGGGCUAAGACACGCCACAACAUGCAAGAGCUACAAAUCCGCAAUUGGCCAAGUCUAACGGCUCUGCCAGAGUGGAUAGGAAACCUGCCCUUGCUUCAACGUUUGGAGAUUAGCUAUUGUCAUAAAUUGGCAUGUUUGCCAUCCAGAUUGCAACUUCUAACGAAUCUCGAACAUCUAGAAAUCCAAGGUUGUCCCCAUUUAGAGAAGUGAUGCAAGAAGGAGAAAUGCGGCGAUUCGCACAAGAUAGCACACAUCCCACAUACCGAGAUUGGAUGGCCAUUCCUGAGAGGAGGUGAAGGGCGUGGACGUCUCUUGGAGUUGAAGACAAGAUGCAUCAAUACUCUCCUUCCUACCUCUUCCUCCCAUUAACAUUCAAAUGCUAUCAUUUCAUCCAUGAAUGGCAGUGGUACUUGUGCAAAUGAGAUGGAGAAGGGCCUAGCAGCACACAUGCCAACAUGCUACACUUGUGGAGACUGAGCAAGGUGGCUGAUCGUUGAACCAAAAAUCAGGCUGGUCUGCUUAUCAGGCCGUUGAGGGUUAGAGUCAUGCUUAAGGAUGGAUGAGACAAUGUGAAAUUUACCUUUUUAGGCUGGUGGGGAAUGGAUCCUCAAACAGAAUGGAGUUGUUGGCUAUUGAAAGCAGUGUGGAGAUUUUGUGAAUUGGUAGCGGCACGGAGACUCUAUAAUGCUAUCACUUGUACCUUUAGGAAGUACAAUCCCACUUUGGAGCCAAGAUCUAUUCUGAAUGAAAUGAGGUUUGUCUUCUUUCAGUGAUUUGAGUAGUCCUUGAAAGAUAUUCAGGGAUAAGUCCCUGAGAAUGAAGAAAAAAGGAAUGACAGAAUUCUGCAAGAUCAAGAUCGUGCUUUGUUAACUCAAUUUCUCCAGAAAUCAUUCAGAAGGCAGGAUAACAGGAUUGAUGUAAAUUUCAUUUUAUUUUUUCCGAUGAAAGGUACACUUACAUUCAAUCACUAACCUAAGAGGCAUGCAUCUGCAGAUACCUAAUACAUUAUACAUCAGUCUCAUGAAUAGUUUGAACAUGCUGGUGAUCCAAUCACACUGACCUCCAGAUGAAUGUGUCUUCAGCUAGGAUCAGGUCUGUCACUUCAUCAGGAGUCUAGGACACUUUCACCAAAGGGUAGACCUGAUGAAUGGAAAGGGUCUCAUACACAAAUGCCACACCAACACAUGUGAGGGCCCUUCUAUUUCUCCUCUGCAAAAGUACAUCUAUAAGAAGCACUUCUUAACCCCUUCAAAUUUAACUCCUUGGCCAGUCAUUAUUUACAAAAUAUCAAAAGUUGAUGGUACGAGGAAUUCUAAGUGGACUUGCUCAUAUGUGGUAGUUGUAGGUUGUUUGUAGCACACAUGCCAAUUUAGGAUGUGUUAUAGACAUGGGCAUUCAUCUGGGGUUUCUAUAUCAAUCUGGGCUAGCCUUACAUCGGAGAGCGAGAGGGGAAACAUUCGUGGACCUCAGCAGAGAACAUUUUCCUGUAAACCGAAAAAUAGCAAGAAGUUUAUCACUCCUUUGUUAUAUUUAUGCCAGGAAAAAAAAGGACAAGGUUCCCCUAUUUUCAGUGGAAGAAGCGCACUAGUUCCCCUGGUACUGUUGUGGUUCUCAUCGUCUUUUCUACAAUGUGUUUCAACAUUAAAUUUUAAUCCUACGUUUUUUCUUUCAUUAAUCUUUUCUUAAUUCACAUCUAAGACAUCUAUGACAAAAACUGGCAUUUCUUUUCUUGUAUUUUUGUUCUUUAUGAGGAUACUUAGU